AUUUUGAAUGUGCACAGAGUUGUAAAUCUGAUGAAACACAUCUGAGCUAAAUGAAGUCCAGGGGUUUAUAAAUUCAUUCAAAUGAAUUACUGUAUGAUUCACAUGAAUAAGUGCCACGUGCAUUUAAA